rnacentral:misc_RNA from 1 species
AGCAGCCGCGGUAAUUCCAGCUCCAAUAGCGUAUAUUAAAGUUGCUGCAGUUAAAAAGCUCGUAGUUGAAUUUCGGGACUAAUAUGUCGGUCGUGCCUCGGUACGUACUGGUUUAUUGGUUUCUCCUUUCUGAAGAACCAUGAUGUCAUUUAUUUGGUGUCGUGGGGAAUCAGGACUGUUACUUUGAAAAAAUUAGAGUGUUUAAAGCAGGCUCACGCUUGAAUACAUUAGCAUGGAAUAAUGAAAUAGGACGUUUGAUUCUAUUUUGUUGGUUUCUAGGAUCGACGUAAUGAUUAAUAGGGAUAGUUGGGGGCAUUAGUAUUCAAUUGUCAGAGGUGAAAUUCUUGGAUUUAUUGAAGACUAACUACUGCGAAAGCAUUUGCCAAGGAUGUUUUCAUUAAUCAAGAACGAAAGUUAGGGGAUCGAAGACGAUCAGAUACCGUCGUAGUCUUAACCAUAAACUAUGCCGAC